GACGAACGCUGGCGGCGUGCUUAACACAUGCAAGUCGAACGAAGAGCGAUGGAAGCUUGCUUCUAUCAAUCUUAGUGGCGAACGGGUGAGUAACGCGUAAUCAACCUGCCCUUCAGAGGGGGACAACAGUUGGAAACGACUGCUAAUACCGCAUACGAUCUAAUCUCGGCAUCGAGGAUAGAUGAAAGGUGGCCUCUACAUGUAAGCUAUCACUGAAGGAGGGGAUUGCGUCUGAUUAGCUAGUUGGAGGGGUAACGGCCCACCAAGGCGAUGAUCAGUAGCCGGUCUGAGAGGAUGAACGGCCACAUUGGGACUGAGACACGGCCCAGACUCCUACGGGAGGCAGCAGUGGGGAAUCUUCCGCAAUGGACGAAAGUCUGACGGAGAAACGCCGCGUGAGUGAUGACGGCCUUCGGGUUGUAAAGCUCUGUUAAUCGGGACGAAAGGCCUUCUUGCGAAUAGUGAGAAGGAUUGACGGUACCGGAAUAGAAAGCCACGGCUAACUACGUG
rnacentral:rRNA from 1 species